UCCGUCUCGCAGUCGUUCCCCCUCAUACCAGCCUGCAAACAGGAACAGAGUCUUCAUGAAGCAAUGAGUGUCUGGAUGAAUCUGGACCCUGCCUGGCUCUGAGGAGGGUGUACCCCAGCUUGUGCAUGACGUGAUGGAAGACUGUCAGUAUGGAGAAGGCUUAAACGUGUAACUCCUGCCCACUAACAACUGCUGAAAAUCGAAGAGGUUUACAGUACAAGCAGAGCUUUCAAUCCUUCAGUGUGAAGGAGCAGAGAGGGAAGCAAACAAACACAAAAUCCAGCACAGUAUGCACUGGGCUGUGGCGGAACAUUCUGCUUAAAACACAUGGCACCCAGGAAGAGAAAGAAGACUGAGAAGAGACGUUCCACAUAAAUAUCUGCAAGUAGAGUCCUUUCCUAAGACCCGUGUUCUUCAUGCACAGCAUAAAAUUAAGCACCUGCAGUUCCCUACUCAGGAGUCAGAUGUGGUAGCACCAUGGCCUGCCUCUCAUACAAUUAAGCACAGUAGGCUUAAACUUAAUUGCAUAAAGGUCGAAGUCACAAAGCUGGAUUUCUCAUUGAAUGCCAGGCAUCUGCUAGAAAAGACAGAUACGUACUGGGAAAAAUGGGAGAGCAGGCUUUGAAACAAAGAGGCAGGGCUGCAGAACAGACAGGGGCUGUUGAACCUUCUCUGUGUCCCUCUUACAGUGGCAGCUGGCCAGAUACGUUUUGUGUUUCUUGUCACAGCCUACAAAUUUACCUGGGGUUCCUUUUGAAACUCCUACACCCAAGGCCUUUGGGGGGAAGUCCUUCAAGCCUUUGUAAAGAGCAGGUUUGUGAGGAUGGUUGUUUUUGUUCGUUCCCUCACACACUCAGUUCAACCAGAUGAGUUCUGAUCCAUGAAAGAAAACCCACAGGGUAAAAAAAUGUCAUCAUGAAUGCUGUGCAUCAAAAUCUUACAAAGCUGGACACAUGUUCACAACUUACCUAAUUUAAAAAAUCUAACCAAAGCAAUUCUCUUAGCCCACUAAGAGGGUUCUAAAAUUCAGAUUUUGUGACGUUAUAUAAUUAAGCCAAUUAUUUCUUGAAUUAUCUGUUUCCUCGAUGAUAUGAGACCCAUAUCAUCACCUGCCCUCCUGUUGAAGUAGGGCUGGUGAUGACGAUCACAGAAGAUCAUGUGCUUUGAGGGGCACUAUGCAGUGUAAGAGAUCAUUCCUGGAUGUGGAUUCCAGAUUCAACGAGGGGAAAAAUACUACAACCUAUGAUAAAUACAUUUUUUGCACAUAAA